rnacentral:rRNA from 1 species
CCUACGGGUGGCAGCAGUGGGGAAUAUUGCACAAUGGGCGCAAGCCUGAUGCAGCCAUGCCGCGUGUGUGAAGAAGGCCUUCGGGUUGUAAAGCACUUUCAGCGGGGAGGAAGGCGGUGAGGUUAAUAACCUCAUCGAUUGACUUUACCCGCAGAAGAAGCACCGGCUAACUCCGUGCCAGCAGCCGCGGUAAUACGGAGGGUGCAAGCGUUAAUCGGAAUUACUGGGCGUAAAGCGCACGCAGGCGGUCUGUCAAGUCGGAUGUGAAAUCCCCGGGCUCAACCUGGGAACUGCAUUCGAAACUGGCAGGCUAGAGUCUUGUAGAGGGGGGUAGAAUUCCAGGUGUAGCGGUGAAAUGCGUGGAGAUCUGGAGGAAUACCGGUGGCGAAGGCGGCCCCCUGGACAAAGACUGACGCUCAGGUGCAAAAGCGUGGGGAGCAAACAGGAUUAGAUACCCCGGUAGUC